GCCAAGUGAUGAUUUUCCUCAGGGCGGACCCAGCAGGGCCUCUCCUUCUGGAUUCUGAAGGCCA